ACGGGUGAGUAAUGCAUAGGAAUCUGCCUAAUAGACUGGGACAACUUGGGGAAACUCGAGCUAAUACCGGAUAUCCUCUACGGAGGAAAGGAUGGGACUUGAAAGAGCCAUUCGCUAAUAGAUGAGCCUAUGUCGGAUUAGCUAGUUGGUGGGGUAAAGGCCUACCAAGGCGAUGAUCUGUAGCUGGUCUGAGAGGAUGGACAGCCACACUGGGACUGAGACACGGCCCAGACUCCUACGGGAGGCAGCAGUGGGGAAUAUUGGACAAUGGGGGAAACCCUGAUCCAGCGAUGCCGCGUGUGCGAAGAAGGCCUGCGGGUUGUAAAGCACUUUGGUUGGGGAAGAAGGCUGGGGGUUGAAUAAACCUCUGGAUUGACGUUACCCAAAGAACAAGCACCGGCUAACUCUGUGCCAGCAGCCGCGGUAAUACAGAGGGUGCGAGCGUUAAUCGGAAUUACUGGGCGUAAAGGGUGCGUAGGCGGAUGUUUAAGUUAGAUGUGAAAUCCCCGGGCUUAACCUGGGAAUUGCAUUUGAUACUGGACGUCUAGAGUAGAGUAGAGGGAAGUGGAAUUUCCGGUG
rnacentral:rRNA from 1 species